rnacentral:rRNA from 1 species
UACGGGGGGGGCAAGCGUUGUUCGGAAUUACUGGGCGUAAAGGGCGCGUAGGCGGCCUGCUAAGUCGGAUGUGAAAUCCCUCGGCUCAACCGAGGAACUGCAUCCGAUACUGGCCGGGCUUGAAUCCGGGGGAGGGAUGUGGAAUUCCAGGUGUAGCGGUGAAAUGCGUAGAUAUCUGGAGGAACACCGGUGGCGAAGGCGGCAUCCUGGACCGGUAUUGACGCUGAGGCGCGAAAGCUAGGGGAGCAAACGGG